GGUCAGGUGUUGGCUACUGGUCUCAUUCAGAUGCUUCUGUCGCUGCCUUUGUGAUAUCUGUGUCACUACAACAACUUAGCUCUGUCAAAAAUGAAGUAUGAGGACCUCAUGAAGAAAAUAGGCAAACGUGAGGAUGAUGUUGGGUCUUAUAGGUGAAAACAUCAAACCAGGAGGUAAAUCCUUCUUCAGUAUGACCAUUAUGCUGCGUCUACACUAUAUCAAUUACGAGUACCAGAGUAAGCUGCUUAUGAAAGGACCUGCAGAGAACUUACAAUCAAACCCCCUCUGCUUGGUUCCCUGCCCCCUUUGGAGGAUAAACUGUUCCUUUUCCAGGAUCUACUUACAUCCCAUCUUCUAUCGUAUCCUCACCUUAAAGGAAAACUAAAAGAAAGACACUGACUAUGGCAGUUUUAAAGGUAAAGUUCACUAAGACUAGGAGGGACAAGCUGGCCCAGAUCCUAUGGAUCCUCAACUGGAUUUCAGUGGUUACUGGUGUCAUCCUGUUCAGCCUUGGGCUCUUCCUCAAAGUGGAGCUCAAAAAGCGAGAGGAGCUGAUGGCAGAGAAAGAUAUCCAUUAUGUUCCCAACAUGCUGAUCGCUGUGGGUCUCAUAGCUUGUGUCAUUAACUUCCUGGGUGGGAAGAUCUGCUAUGAUUGUGUGGACACCACAAAGUUCUUACGCUGGAAGCUGAUACUGCUACCCUACAUUGUGUGCACAUUCUUUUUCACUCUCUGCGUCCUUGUGGGAGCGCUGAUGUGUUACAGCAUGCACUGGGAGCUGGAGGAGGCUCUAAACCUAGGUUUGAUGCAAGCCAUGAGGUUCUAUAAAGACACAGACAUGCCAGGACGCUGCUUCCUGAAACACACUGUGGACAUGCUGCAGAUACAGUUCCAGUGCUGUGGGAACAGCGGCUACAAAGACUGGUUUCAAAUCCAGUGGAUAAGCAACCGUUACUUGGACAUGUCCAAAAAGGAGGUGGUAGAUCGACUGAGGAGUAAUGUAGAGGGGAAAUACCUGAUGGAUGGAGUCCCGUUCAGCUGCUGCAACAUCGACUCCCCUCGGCCCUGCAUCCAGCAUCAAAUUACCAACAACUCGGCCCACUUCAACUAUGAGCAUCAGACCGAGGACCAGAACCUGUGGAUGAGAGGCUGCCGACAGGCACUGCUGGAGUACUAUACUCACAUCCUGCAGUCCAUUGGCCUUACAGUCCUCAUCACAUGGCUCUUUGAGCUGUCAGUCCUGACAGGCGUCCGUUACCUUCAGACCUCCUUGGAAAACAUGCUAAGGCAGGGGGACCCUAACUCGGAAUCUGACGGCUGGCUGCUGGAAAACAGCCUAAUGGAAACGGCCCGUACCAACCUCAACAUCAUAAAGAGCCUCGGCAAGAACAACCAAAUUAACUCAGCUGAAAAUGGAGACCCCAACAUUGAUGUCCCAUCAACCUCUGCAAAACAUUAUGGGUCAGAAAAUGUUUCAACCACGCAGAAGAUGGGAGCAGGUUAAACAUACUUCUCCAGCCUAAAAUACCUUAUCUCCAAAAUUCUAAGAUGUUUUUGUACAACUUAUCAGAGGUAUUAAGAUAAUAAACCAUAUAUAUAUAUAUAUAUAUAUAUAUAUACUGUAGCCAUGGAAAAGAGUUGUUAGACCUUACCUUGUUUUCUUUUCUUUUGUUUUUUUAUAUUGAGGUUAUUGACCUUAGGAAGAAGCUAAAGAAAACAACGGUAAUCUAUUCAUUCUUUUAUUAUUAUAAAAUAUUGAUUUAAUAUACAAUGUGUUAAAUAUUAUAAACACAUUUUGAAGGACUUGCUUCUUUGUUGCCAUAUUGCAUUAUUUUGGUGGCAAGGGUUGGACACAACCAAAGACUAUAACCAUGUCAACUUAACAGAAUAACUUGAUUGAAUUUGAUAAUUGUCAAUGAGAGUGGCCUUGCCAAAAGUUCAAGUUAAUAUUGAAUUUAUUCUUUCUCUGACUGCAGUGUUGAGGUGAAAUAGUAAAUCUGUAAAAUGUCUAAAAGUUUCUAUACUUUCAGGUAAACCAAUGUUUAGUAAUGAGUGGGGAUUCAGAUGUAUAAAAGAUUUGUUCCAGAGAAAACUUAUCAGGGGCCUCAUAUGAGCUUUGAAGAGCAACUUUAAACGCACAACUUGGGUCAUGCAAAACUGAAUGUGGCGUUUCCAGUAAUCCAUCUUUCACCUUUCAAGGCCUUGCAACACCUAUGGAAUUAGACUAAAAGUUCUAAUGGACAUGAAUUCACUGAGUCCUUAUUCAUUUUUUCUUUUAUCAGUUAAAAUUGUAAGGAGCAACAGAGAGAGGAGGUUUGUGAUAGUCCAAAUUUAUUCAGCAAAUAGAAAGUUAAUAAUACAUGUGAAACUAAAGACUGGGAAUAGAACUAUGGCUAAUAAUUGAGAAAAAACAUUAUACAACAUUGCUGUUGGGAAUAGAAGCAGAUGAUUAGGUUAAUUUAAUAAUCAAGGUGAUGCAAAUGUAUUUUUAUUGAACAUUUCAGGAGCAAGAUAAUUCAAAGAGCUGUAGGAAGUAGGAACACACAAGGAAAAGUGCAUUGAAAGAUAGUUUAAGAAAAAUAGAAUGGUUGAUAAAAUUGUCAAAAGUUGGACUUCAAACUUCAAAUAGUGUUUAGCACAGUCAAAGGAACUUAGGGUUUCAGCGCUUUUACAGUGUUUGGGGUGUUUGAUUCUAAACUAGUGGAGUAUAAGAACUGAAAGCUGUUGCUCCAUGUUUAGUUCUGAUUCUGGGCAGAAUUGUGCCAGAAGAUGUGAAAGGUCCGGGUGGUUGAUUUGCUGUCAACAAGUCUGUAAUG